AUGUCGCCUACAGCUAGUAAAGACAGAUGGUCGAGGUUGGGGAGUGAAGACUCUGCUAGACAUUCCUAAAGGCAUCUUCAUCUGCGAGUAUAUAGGAGAGCUGAUAUCGGACUCGGAGGCGGAUGGAAGAGAAGAUGAUUCCUAUCUGUUUGAUCUCGAUAAUAGGGAUGGAGACACAUACUGUAUAGAUGCCAGAAGAUAUGGAAAUAUUAGUCGUUUUAUAAACCACCUGUGUGAGCCUAACAUCAUUCCAGUAAAAGUGUUUGUGGACCACCAAGAUUUACGAUUCCCUCGCAUCUGUUUCUUCUCCUCUAGGGAGAUCAAGGCAGAAGAGGAGUUGGGAUUCGAUUACGGAGAGAAAUUCUGGAUUAUUAAGUGGAAGCAAUUUACAUGUGCGUGUAAUUCACCUAAAUGCAAAUACUCCAAAGACACGAUUCAGAAAACACUUCAGGAGUAUCGUCAGAGGCACGAGGACGAAGAACCGAUAGACUGAGCACCGCCGCCGACCCGCCCAGGGGAACGCGUGCAGAGCCACUCGUGGUGUCUCGUCAAAUUAAUGACUCGUUAUGGAGAAUCGGAGAGUCUGAGGCCUUGUAUGUUUAUACGCUUGAUAAUGUUAGACUGCUUGUUUGUUUGAAUGUGAGAGUCUGUAAAAUCUACUAAGCAGUUAUAAUUAAAAAGUACCAUGUACUUGAUGUAGUAUUCAAUCUGAA